rnacentral:rRNA from 1 species
GAUGAACGCUGGCGGCGUGCCUAAUACAUGCAAGUCGAGCGAACGGACGAGAAGCUUGCUUCUCUGAUGUUAGCGGCGGACGGGUGAGUAACACGUGGAUAACCUACCUAUAAGACUGGGAUAACUUCGGGAAACCGGAGCUAAUACCGGAUAAUAUUUUGCACCGCAUGGUUCAAAAGUGAAAGACGGUCUUGCUGUCACUUAUAGAUGGAUCCGCGCUGCAUUAGCUAGUUGGUAAGGUAACGGCUUACCAAGGCAACGAUGCAUAGCCGACCUGAGAGGGUGAUCGGCCACACUGGAACUGAGACACGGUCCAGACUCCUACGGGAGGCAGCAGUAGGGAAUCUUCCGCAAUGGGCGAAAGCCUGACGGAGCAACGCCGCGUGAGUGAUGAAGGGCUUCGGAUCGUAAAACUCUGUUAUUAGGGAAGAACAUAUGUGUAAGUAACUGUGCACAUCUUGACGGUACCUAAUCAGAAAGCCACGGCUAACUACGUG